UACGGGGGGGGCAAGCGUUGUUCGGAAUUACUGGGCGUAAAGGGUUUGUAGGGGGCUUGUUAAGUCAGACGUGAAAUCCCUCAGCUUAACUGGGGAACUGCGUCUGAUACUGGCGAGCUUGAGUGCAGGAGAGGAACGCGGAAUUCCAGGUGUAGCGGUGAAAUGCGUAGAUAUCGGGAGGAACACCAGUGGCGAAGGCGACUACCUGGCCUGUUUCUUGACGCUGAGGCGCGAAAGCUAGGGGAGCAAACGGG
rnacentral:rRNA from 1 species